rnacentral:rRNA from 1 species
UACGGGGGGGGCAAGCGUUGUUCGGAAUUACUGGGCGUAAAGGGCUCGUAGGUGGCCAACUAAGUCGGACGUGAAAUCCCUCGGCUUAACCGGGGAACUGCGUCUGAUACUGGAUGGCUUGAGUUCGGGAGAGGGAUGCGGAAUUCCAGGUGUAGCGGUGAAAUGCGUAGAUAUCUGGAGGAACACCGGUGGCGAAGGCGGCAUCCUGGACCGACACUGACGCUGAGGAGCGAAAGCCAGGGGAGCAAACAGG